rfam:Struthio camelus australis contig44132, whole genome shotgun sequence.
CCAACGGCUCUUUUAAGAGCCACCCACGGUGUUAAAAUAAAAUAGG